rfam:Eubacterium plexicaudatum ASF492 genomic scaffold acLZb-supercont1.5, whole genome shotgun sequence.
GGCCCCAUGGUCAAGCGGUUAAGACAUCGCCCUUUCACGGCGGUAACACGAGUUCGAUUCUCGUUGGGGUCA